rnacentral:rRNA from 1 species
UAGGGAAUCUUCGGCAAUGGGGGGAACCCUGACCGAGCAACGCCGCGUGAGUGAAGAAGGUUUUCGGAUCGUAAAGCUCUGUUGUUAAGGAAGAACGAGUGUGAGAAUGGAAAGUUCAUACUGUGACGGUACUUAACCAGAAAGGGACGGCUAACUACGUGCCAGCAGCCGCGGUAAUACGUAGGUCCCGAGCGUUGUCCGGAUUUAUUGGGCGUAAAGCGAGCGCAGGCGGUUAGAUAAGUCUGAAGUUAAAGGCAGUGGCUCAACCAUUGUAGGCUUUAGAAACUGUUUAACUUGAGUGCAGAAGGGGAGAGUGGAAUUCCAUGUGUAGCGGUGAGAUGCGUAGAUAUAUGGAGGAACACCGGUAGCGAAAGCGGCUCUCUGGUCUGUAACUGACGCUGAGGCUCGAAAGCGUGGGUAGCAAACAGG